rnacentral:rRNA from 1 species
CCACGAGGGUUAGACUGUCUCCUUUUUCAAAUCAGUGAAAUUAAUCUCCCCGUGAAGAAGCGGGGAUACUCAUAUAAGACGAGAAGACCCCAUGGAGCUUCAAACCCAACUACACCCCUAGCUCUUAUAGCCCCACAACCCCCCUAGGCACCGUGUGCUUGGUUUUAGGUUGGGGCGACCGCGGAGUACAAUAAAACCUCCACAAUGAAUGGGAACACCCCCUUAUCUGAGGGCCACACCCCCUAAGAAUUAGAACACUAACAUAAAAUGAUCCAUUACUUGAUCAAUGAACCAAGUUACCCUGGGGAUAACAGCGCAAUCCAUUUCAAGAGCCCCUAUCGACAAAUGGGUUUACGACCUCGAUGUUGGAUCAGGGUACCCCAGUGGUGCAGCAGCUACUAACGGUUCGUUUGUUCAACGAUUAAAACCCU